rnacentral:rRNA from 1 species
GAUCGAUGGCGUCAGGACGAACGCUGGCGGCGUGCUUAACACAUGCAAGUCGAGCGAUGAAGCUCUUCGGAAGUGGAUUAGCGGCGGACGGGUGAGUAACACGUGGGUAACCUGCCUCAUAGAGGGGAAUAGCCUUCCGAAAGGAAGAUUAAUACCGCAUAAGAUUGUAAUAUCGCAUGAUAUAGCAAUUAAAGGAGUAAUCCGCUAUGAGAUGGACCCGCGUCGCAUUAGCUAGUUGGUGAGGUAACGGCUCACCAAGGCGACGAUGCGUAGCCGACCUGAGAGGGUGAUCGGCCACAUUGGGACUGAGACACGGCCCAGGCUCCUACGGGAGGCAGCAGUGGGGAAUAUUGCACAAUGGGGGAAACCCUGAUGCAAGCAACGCCGCGUGAGUGAUGACGGUCUUCGGAUUGUAAAGCUCUGUCUUCAGGGACGAUAAUGACGGUACCUGAGGAGGAAGCCACGGCUAACUACGUGCCAGCCGCGGC